GAGUUUGAUCAUGGCUCAGGACGAACGCUGGCGGCGUGCUUAACACAUGCAAGUCGAACGGUGAAGUCCCAGCUUGCUGGGAUGGAUCAGUGGCGAACGGGUGAGUAACACGUGAGCAACCUGCCCUCCACUUCGGGAUAAGCCUUGGAAACGGGGUCUAAUACCGGAUAUGAGCCUGCAUCGCAUGGUGUGGGUUGGAAAGUUUUUCGGUGGGGGAUGGGGCUCGCGGCCUAUCAGCUUGUUGGUGGGGUAAUGGCCUACCAAGGCGUCGACGGGUAGCCGGCCUGAGAGGGCGACCGGCCACACUGGGACUGAGACACGGCCCAGACUCCUACGGGAGGCAGCAGUGGGGAAUAUUGCACAAUGGGCGAAAGCCUGAUGCAGCGACGCCGCGUGAGGGAUGACGGCC
rnacentral:rRNA from 1 species